GCUGUGAUUGUACAGUGGUUAGAACUCUGUGUUGUGGCCACAGCAACUUUGGUUCAAAUCCAAGUCACAGCA
rnacentral:tRNA from 1 species